AGAAAUACUAUUACACUUACAUUUGGCUUUUUUUGUUCCAGAAAUUCAAACCUUCUGCUUAGAUAAAGAAACCAUGUUUAGGUCAAUGUAUCUCCUUGAUAUUUUUCUCCUAAGGGUACAUAAGCUACUUUUCAUAUUGAGACUAUAAAUGUGAUAAAAUUUAAAAAAAAAAAAAAAACAACUUUCCCACUGAAUCCUGCUGUUUAGUACUAAAACAUUCUGGUUUCAGUUUAAAAUUGUCAACUUUCAUAAAUAAAUGGCCAAAAUCUCUGUACUCAUAAAAGAGAAGGAAAAUAAAGACCUGAAUUCAAUCCUUGGUUUCAAAAGAUUCCAUGGGGAAGGGAAUGGCUACCCACUCCAGUAUUCUUGCCUGGAGAAUUCCAUGGACAAUGGAUCCUGGAAGGCUUCGGCCAUGAAGUCCUAAACAAUUGGAUGUGACUGAGCAACUAACACUUUCAAAGGAAUGAAAUGGGUAUGAAGAUACUAAGAAAAAGUGAAGUAUAAAGAAUAUUUUCUCUGAUUGUGAUAACAAGUUUAAAAAGUAAACAGCCAGAACAGAACUUGAAAUUCAUGGUGCUUCCAUAAAUGUAUCCCAUAGAAGAUUGAAAUGACCUCAAUAAGUCUUAGCAACAUGCCUGAGAAGGUUGCAGAGAGGGUUCUUGGCAAAAUUCAUCCUACAUUUGGACCAUGGAGAGUUCCCAACCUCUCAGCCUCCUGUCCUGGGUUAAAUGAAAUUACUUCAAGGCUUGACAACUUCUUCACCUAUGACCGAAUAUAAACUGUGAUAUUAAAAAGCAAGCAAAUAAUUUGAAAAAUAAAAAAAAAGCUAUGACAGUUUU
rnacentral:lncRNA from 1 species